rnacentral:rRNA from 1 species
AGUGAACGCUGGCGGUAGGCCUAACACAUGCAAGUCGAACGGCAGCACAGUAAGAGCUUGCUCUUACGGGUGGCGAGUGGCGGACGGGUGAGGUAUACAUCGGAAUCUACUUUUUCGUGGGGGAUAACGUAGGUAAACUUACGCUAAUACCGCAUACGACCUACGGGUGAAAGCAGGGGAUCUUCGGACCUUGCGCGAUUGAAUGAGCCGAUGUCGGACUAGCUAGUUGGCGGGGUAAAGGCCCACCAAGGCGACGAUCCGUAGCUGGUCUGAGAGGAUGGUCGGCGACACUGGAACUGAGACACGGUCCAGACUCCUACGGGAGGCAGCAGUGGGGAAUAUUGGACAAUGGGCGCAAGCCUGAUCCAGCCAUACCGCGUGGGUGAAGAAGGCCUUCGGGUUGUAAAGCCCUUUUGUUGGGAAAGAAAAGCAGCAGGUUAAUACCCCGCUGUUCUGACGGUACCCAAAGAAUAAGCACCGGCUAACUUCGUG